rnacentral:rRNA from 1 species
GGGGAAUAUUGCGCAAUGGGGGAAACCCUGACGCAGCGACGCCUCGUGAGUGAUGAAGUCCUUCGGGACGUAAAGCUCUGUCGGCAGGGACGAUAAUGACGGUACCUGCAAAGGAAGCUCCGGCUAACUACGUGCCAGCAGCCGCGGUAAUACGUAGGGAGCGAGCGUUGUCCGGAUUUAUUGGGCGUAAAGCGUGCGUAGGUGGUUUUGUAAGUUAGAUGUUAAAUGCAUGGGCUUAACCCAUGUCUGCGUCUAAUACUGCAGAGCUAGAGGGCAGGAGAGGAAAGCGGAACUCACAGUGUAGCGGUGAAAUGCGUAGAUAUUGUGAGGAACACCAGUGGCGAAGGCGGCUUUCUGGACUGCACCUGACACUGAGGCACGAAAGCGUGGGGAGCAAAC